AUUGAACGCUGGCGGCAGGCCUAACACAUGCAAGUCGAGCGGAGCGGCGGACGGGUGAGUACUGCCUAGUAAUCUGCCUGGUAGUGGGGGAUAACGUCCGGAAACGUGCGCUAAUACCGCAUACUCUCAGCUGAGCCUAGGUCGGAUUAGCUAGUUGGUGGGGUAAAGGACUACCAAGGCGACGAUUCGUAACCGGUCUGAGAGGAUGAUCCGUCACACUGGAAAUGAGACACGGUCCAGACGCCUACGGGAGGCAGCAGUGGGGAAUAUGGGACAAUGGGCGAAAGCAUGAUCCAGCCAUGCCGGGUGUGUGAAGAAGGUCUGCGGAUUGUAAAGCACUUUAAGUUGGGAGGCGUUACCAACAGAAUAAGCACCGGCUAACUUCGUGCCAGCAGCCGCGGUAAUAC
rnacentral:rRNA from 1 species